AAUUCCAGAAACUAGAGGACUGCAUCUGGAGAAAUACUUAAGUGAUUGUGUUGUUUUGAUUUGGUUUUUUUUUUCACUUAUUUAGUUAGUUAUUACUCUGGUAUGGCUCAGUUACAUGUGAUUUGUCUGGCCAUCAUCAAAGCAUGACAGAAGCUCUGAGAAGAUGAAAGGAAGUGCCUAAUUUGCUUGCCCUUUAAAAAGAACAGGUUUUUUCAGUGGUGUGGAGACAAUGCUUAGUCAUGCAUUUUACAUGGGCAUAUAGACAAUGGGCUCGAACGACGAGAUUUGUGAUGAUAUUCAACAACAAAAAAGGUGGGGCAGAAAUGAUGUAGACUUUUACAGUCAAAGUGAUGUUUCAUUUUGGUAUUGCCAGUUAAGCUUCAGAGAGGACACCAGUGUGAACCUAUGCCCCUGGGACCCAGCUGGGCUCAUGAGUAUAUUUAAUACUCACUGCUGAGGAGGUGAUUUCAAGAGACUGCUGGGGUUCAGUGGUGAUGCAAGACUUUGGAUGUUCUACUGUGAGUGGACCCUUAUCUUGGAAGCCUAUGUGAAUUGGGUUUGUUUUAUUGUUAAGAUUUGGCAAAAUGCCAUGGCUAUCUUCCUUGUUCAGUUUCUACUGCUUGUGAAAAAAAUUAGAAGGCCUCUUGGAGAGGAAGGUAAAAAAUGGAAAAUGUAGUUCUUUUUCCUUGUGCCAAGGAACAUAGAUGGAAUGGGAGAUAUUCAGUUGGAAUAUAUUAAUUACAAUCUGAGUUUGCUUCUUAGCCUUCUUCAAGAUUUCAAAUAGAUACUUAAUCAGGAAGAAGUUAGACUGAACUGUCACCAUUCAAAACGUCACCAUUUUGCCUCAGGACCACAUAACUUGCACUCAUGGUGUGUCACUAAUGGUAUGAGCCACUCCGAGAGACAGCAGCAUCCAGAAUAAACCCUGUGUCACUUACUAUGGCCUUUAACUGGGUACUCGGAUGGCAGAAUUUCACCUGGAGUAAAAAAAGAGACUCAGUCUCCAAGUUCAGACCACCCUGUUUAUUAGAACCUGUUACACUGGGAACUGACCAGCUUUGUGGAAAAGAACCUGGGGAUCCUGGUGGACAUGAAGUCGAAUGUGAGCCUGCAAUGUGCCCUUGCUGCAAAGGUGGCUGCUGGUAUCCUGGGGUGCACUGGGAGGAGUGUUGCCCACAGGUGAAGGGGAGGUGAUCCCUCUCUUCCACUCAGCACUGAUGAGGUCACAUCUGCAGUACAGUUCAAUUCUGGGUUCCUCAGUAUAAGACAUGAAGAAGAGCCACUGAAGUGAUUAAGGGACUGGAGCAUCUCUCCUGUGAGGAAUGACAGAGAAUUGGGACUGAGAAGGUACAGUGGGGGAUCUUAGCAAUGCCUGAUGGGAGGAAGUACAGAAGACAAAGUCAGGCUCUUCUCAGUGGUGCCCUGUGACAGGACCAGAGGCAGUGGGCAUAAACUGAGACAGGGAACUGAAAGCCUCUGAACAUCAGGAAACACAUUUUCACUGUGAGAGUGACCAAGCAGAAAGAGAAGUUUCCCAUUAAGGUGGUGGAGUCACCAUCUGUGGAGAAGCCAUCUGGACAACCUGCCCCUCUUGUGCACUGUGAUUUAGGUGGCCCUGCUUGAGCAGAUGGGUUGCACCAGAUGACCUGCAGAGCAGCGUUCCAACCUCCACCAUUCUGUGACUCGUGAACUUUUUUUACAGGCUGCUUUCUUUCUGCAUUGUUUGGAAGCUUUUCACAUUGCUUGUGUCACAUGCAAUUGAGUUAUUGUUAGUUUUGUCAUAUGUGAUCACCUAUAAUAUUCUAAUUGUUUCUGUAAGGAGAAGUGAUUUGCUUCAUAUGUGAUUCCAUAUGGUACACUGCAAAUAAUUGAGGUCCAAGUGCUAUAAAGACUAUAAGAGAUACUUUUUUUGAACCACUUGUUUAUAAAAGCUUAGAAGAAAUCUAAAUGGGAAGAUUCUCUAGAAACAUAUGUAAUAACAUGUUUACCUUUAGAAACUCAUUCCUAUCCACUGCUCAUCCGCCAAAGACACCUCUGGAAAAGUCCUUCUGUUUCUUUCCCUCCCCAAAUCCCAACACUUGGUACUCAGGAGCAAGCAACACAGAUCUUAUUGCUGCAGUUUGAAUUUUUUUCCUCUUAUAGGCAUCUGUAGCUUUUCCUCUUAUCAACUGUUUCCAUGAGGAAUUACAAAAAAGGGGGCUCCUGUUUGCUUUUAUUAAUAUGCAUAAUAUGUGUGCUUAAGCUUCUCUUCUCCCUGCUCUUCCGAGAGGUUAGUUUCAAAAACAGGAGGCUCUGAGGAAGUAACCUAUACAUGGAAACCACCUGUAUUUAUGAACCUUUAAAAGAACCACAUGCUUCCUACAGAAAUAAAGCAUCUUUUGUCUGGAAUUAUUCCUUCGUAGUGGGUGCACAGUCAUUUUGGGGCUCCAGAUUGAUUUUUCUGGAAAGAGGAAACAUUUGGUGCCAAAAGUGUCAGAGUCAAAAAUAAGCUUUGUCAAAUAAAGGGAAUUCUGCACCAUGUCUUGAGUAUUCUCUUUGUAAAAGGACACUAGGAAAGCUGGAGAGGGACAGCAUUAGAGAAGAGUGAGGAACUUUUUUUCUGGUUAGUAGUGGGUUUAGGCAGUAGGGUAGGAAGGGAGGUGCUUUUCUUAACAUGUAGUUCUUCCUCCACAAACCUAGGGGAAGGGGGAGUAUCCCAUCACACUUACUACUGCUGUGUGCAAUUUUUUUCCUUGGUUUUGACAUUUACUUAUUCCUUAGAUAUAUUUCUAACUUUAUAUGGAGUUGUGUGGAGCAAAUGCAGGCUAUUUGAAACCUCUCAAUUCUUGAUCUGAAAGGUGGCCUUUAAGUGCUUUUUAUGGUGAAUUGCUCUGCUUAUGGACUUGUUCCUGCAAUGUUUCCAGUUCUGGAAUUGGCAUUAGCAUUAAGAAAUAUCCUGUGGAAAAAAAGCUGGGGAACCAGAGUCUAGCCAGAAUUACUCAUUUCAUCAUACUGGCUGUCAACAGUACUCCUGGUUGUAAUUUUGGCUUUAACACUUCGGGGUCUAAUGCUUGAUUUCUAGGAAGGGGUCUGUGAGUUGAUGAUAAUAGGGUUAUAUUCUUAAUUUGAAAAGGCUGUGUUGUACCUGUAAGUUCUUUGCUUAUGCAUAAAGCUGCUGUCAACAUCAACAAAGCACAGCUGAAUGACCUCUAUUUCUGAAAGAGUGGCAUACCUUUAUUUCAUUUUUCUGCCUAAGACUGGCACAUGACCACAUAUUUUACUAUUUUACUUUUUUACUCCUUUUUUUUUUUUCAGUUUGCCCUUUAAGAGGUGAAGUGCCUUGUAUUAGCUUGCAUACAUACGGAAUUGUUGCCAUUUCGUAAUAGCAGGAUGAUGUGCAUCUUGCAAACUUGUUCAUGAAGCUCUGUCCUGAGCACCAAACUCCUUCAGUAGAAUAGUUCAAAAGAUUGUGUGCAUUGUGCUAGAAGAUGGUACCCUUAGGCUCUUGCUUGAUCAAGGUAGGGGAUGCUUUAAAACUGGGCCAUAAUUAAGUGUGCAGCAAAACAGAUUUAUUAUUAAUUUAAGUUUUUAAGAGAAGGGAGUAAAUUAUGUUCACUCUUGCUGCACAGUUUUGGAAAAGAAAAAUAUGCAUUAAUAAACAAUAUGUCUGUAAUUAAUUAAUGGUCCCCUGGAGAAGGUUUUCUCCCAAACUAGUUAAUUAGUGUGUAAAAUACUAAAAAAUUAAUCCCAAAACACAUCAUGAAAAAUCAGCUAUGGGUUAGUGAAUUGUGGUCAUUAAAGCAGAGGGGGUUUUUUGCUGUUUGUUUGGUUUUGGAUUUUUUUUGUCUUAAUGGCCAAAGUUAACAACCGAGACAAAUGGAAAACAAAGCACCAAUGUUGAGGUGCAUUUUGACAUUUCUAAUUAACGUGCUGUGCCACUAAAAACAUCAUAAAGGUCUCUCUAGAACUAAUGUGAGCUAUAAACCUAUUGUUUACUCUGGAUUGAUUUGAAAAUUAGUAUUGACUACUGUUUUGUUUUUUAUUACUUAGGAAGAUAUGGGCAGAGCCUAAAUAUUAGAGUCCUCAAAUUCAUUAUUCCCUGUUUUCUGUUAUCCCUCUUUAAUCUUCUGCUGUGUCUGUUAUUCUUCUCCCUUUUCAGAUAGACUGAGAAAUCUCUUGAAUUUGAUCACAAAAACACAUUUCAAAAACCUACUGUUCUAACCUAGAUGGGGUCAGAGUUUUAAAUAACUUCUAAUAAGCAAGUUACCAUGUAUUUCUCAGUUGGAUUCAUAUUAUUAACUGAAGUGGAUUUUAGUAUUUGGUUCCUAAAUUCUUAGUAAAGCUGUUGCAAAUCAUGAAGUGCUCUGUGCUUUGUGUGCUGAGAGCCUCACUGGCUUCCAGGGAAAUACAUGAACUUGUCAAAAAUGUGCAUACUCGUAGAAUCAAAGCCUUAAUUUGUAAAAUGAUACUUAAUAAGAAAAAUGGGCACAAGGUAGUAAUUUUUCUUGUUGAAAACAAUGGUUAUUGCUCAGGUAAAUGUUAGCAGCCUUGAUUGAUUGCUGACAAGAAGUGCAGAAGUGAUUAACAUGACAAUGUACAAGUCAUGUCAUAAAUUUUUUUGUCCCUUGCAGCCACAGCAGAUAUGUAAACUGGUCUUUCAGGUUUAGUUUAGGUUUUUUUGGAAGAAAAAAGGUGUGUUACAAAAAUCUUGGGAGAGGAAAUUAAAAUUCUUCCAUACUUAAGUUUUCCUUAUGAAGUCUCUAUUUAAUGCUGCUUCAGCCUGAUACCUGUUUUCUUUACCUAUUAAAGUGAAGCUUUGAUGCAUGCAUAGGUAUCUCCCCCCAUCAUUUUUCUCCCCCACUACUAAGUCCUGUUAUGUUAUGCUUUAAUAUGAGCAGAUGAAUUCUUCUUUAGGCUUAUUCUAAGAAAAUGAGUUUUCUAUCUCGUUCUGCAUUCAUCUUUGACUAUAUAUAAUUUUAAAAAAUUGGCUGGUUUUAAAGAAGCGAAUGUUCAAGAAGUAGCAGAGGAUAUUGGAAAUACUCAUAAUGACUUUCAAUCUUUUAAAGUAAUAAACACAAA